GACGAACGCUGGCGGCGUGCUUAACACAUGCAAGUCGAACGGAAAGGCCCUUCGGGGUGCUCGAGUGGCGAACGGGUGAGUAACACGUGGGUGAUCUGCCCUGCACUUUGGGAUAAGCCUGGGAAACUGGGUCUAAUACCGAAUAUGAUCAUCGGCUUCAUGGUCGGUGGUGGAAAGCUUUUGCGGUGUGGGAUGGGCCCGCGGCCUAUCAGCUUGUUGGUGGGGUAAUGGCCUACCAAGGCGACGACGGGUAGCCGGCCUGAGAGGGUGGCCGGCCACACUGGGACUGAGAUACGGCCCAGACUCCUACGGGAGGCAGCAGUGGGGAAUAUUGCACGAUGGGCGCAAGCCUGAUGCAGCGACGCCGCGUGAGGGAUGACGGCCUUCGGGUUGUAAACCUCUUUCAGCACAGACGAAGCGCAAGUGACGGUAUGUGCAGAAGAAGGACCGGCCAACUACGUGCCAGCCGCCGCAGUAAUAC
rnacentral:rRNA from 1 species